AUUAGUCACUACACCACGUCGAUGAUUAAACUUCUCUAUUUAACAUUUCAGAUUAAGGCGACAAGUGUGUACUGAAUGCUGAUAAGGAAAGUGCCCUUCCGGUCAAAUGGAAAACCAUGUUUUGCGUACGUAGAGGACAUGUCGUUUUCUACUAUCUUACGGUGAAAAAACAACAACAAUAUGUUUGUGGUGGAUUAUGGAACGAUGGCUCCGUUAUUGCAGAAUCCACUGUAUCGGGCUUCCUGACAAACCCUGACAAUGAAAUUGAUUCAAAGGGUUGUAUGCUAAUUUCCUUAUGAUUUGUAAAAAACAGCUGUUCUUCAACCAGUCCUCAAGUUUUCUUCAGCGGACUGUGGUAUGAACUUUAGGCCUUUGGAUCCGACAAUAACAGGGACUUCAAAAUUGUAGUCUGUAUUCGGAACAACAAGUACAGCGUAUUUAUGAGGACGACAUCGGGAUGUGCAAACAACAGUUUCUGAAUCCAAUCAAUGCCGAGUCCAAGUCGCAAUACAUUUUCGAGAACGGCGCCACAAAUAAGCUGGUAUACAAAUACAAGAUACACUUUAGGCCGCUUAUUAACAUCCAUGCGUAUAAGGAUAUGGACACGAAGCUAAAGCUGUUCAAGCUAAAGCUGUUCAAGCUAAAACUGUUUAAGCUAAAGCUGUUCAUAUAUGCAAUGUGGCUGAUAGAAAACAUCAUCAAGAAAGCGGGAUAUGACAUGCAGUCUGUCCAAACGUUCGAGCCAGAAACCAGCACAUAUACCUUACCCUUUAAGAAAAAAGGAAACGGAAAGGAAAUGAAGCUCACGCUUGUUAUAGUAUAUCCUCAAUUUACAGGAAAUGAUUUUACAAGCGCUAUGGGGAAAUGCUCGUAUUCAAUGUUGACGUAUGUCAACGUUUUCCCCGAACACAUACGUAUGUUUCUUCAUCUGCCAGUUCAGAAUAGUGAUGAUAGGAAAGAAACAGAAAUGAAGAAGAAACACAGAGCUUACAUGUAGAAUUAAGUCAUGAGAUAUACGUAGGAACAUGCGGCGACUACAAGAUCGGAUAGUAUACUCUCCGGUAUAUUAGUUAUGGACAUUAACGGAGCACUAUUGUUGGGGCUGACACUGAGCAUUGCUGUAUUCCCUGUGUUCAAAUGCGGGUGUUGCUGAAAAUCAGUUUGAUGCUUGAAAGCUAGUACAUGUUGAAGGCGAAAGAAAUUGAUGGUGCGCGUUUAGUAUUUGUUAAUAUUUUCUUCGUUUAAUAUUAUUUGUACCAAGCAAAAAGGGAACCUUGUUUGGUCGAUUAAUGGUAUAGUACUUCGUAUUGCGGAGCAAGAAAGUCGUGAAAAAAACAGUAGAUUAUAAAAAAGAGAUAAAAUUCCUUCGAUAAUCGUCAUGAAUUCGAUGAUCAGUACGUAUUUAAACAAAAUAAAAAUACUUGGAAAUAAAUCAAGAACGUGACAACUAAUCAAUAUAUAAUAUCAAUAUGUCCAUUAAUGUUACAACAUGUUAAAUUUUAGUUGAAUAACGUAUUUGAGGAAAUUCAAAUGUUUUAAGAGUCGGAUGCCAAAUUUUCAUGGACACUUCUUUUACCGAUCAUCUCAAAGACAAUGGCACUUCGAUUCCAGAUAACUCGACACUUUCUACCAGAUAUAACACACUAUUUAGUGAAUCAGAAAUGCAGAAUUCGCUGUGGAAUACUGCAAUACAUGUAGUAAGCAGGCGAUACAUAACUAUGUAUGUACUGAUGUAAAUUAAAAACGAAUUACCGAAACAUGUUCUUAUUCCUUUUGAAUAUGAUGAUAAAAGGGAAAGGGAAGUGUAAAGGGAAGUGAUUCCUAUAAUUAGAGCUCAAUAUAAAGGGAGUUUUCCAAUCUUUUAAAUUUUGUGGCUACGCAUUAGUAUCGUCUACAUGGUGCGACUCUAAUGACCACCAAUGACAUAGGAUUUUAUGAGGUGUAUUGGCCGCUUUAAAGCGAGACUAUACGAUUUUUAUAUGUGUUAAAUGGUUAUAUAUUCAUAAAAAUAUGUUGCAAUAACACAAAAUAGGCAAGAAAAAUUAUUCAUUGAAGGCGAAAUUCAUAAAAUGCAGCAAAUACAAACUAUCGCCCGAGCCGAUUGUGACGAUGAUAUUUCGUACAUAUGUUCCUACAAUAACCGAAGCAUUCGUCUUUUAACGAGGAUCGGAGUUAGUCUUCGUGUGUCGUAUGAAUAUAUAUCGUUGCAGGAAAUUAAAUGAUCCGUAAAACUACAUUUAGAUUCACAUCGUACAUGCAUGAUAUACAUGCUGGCGAAUUCGACUGUACAGGCAUUUUCGAUUUCAAAAUUAAAUAUCUGGCUUAUUUUUCGACACAUGUUUUUCUUAACUUUUAUUCUAAUUUAUAUUGAAAUAUAUGCAUAAUAAGUUGUUUACACAUUUUAUAUACAUUCAUAGAAAUUUGACAAAAUCGUUUUUACUCUCGCUUUAAGACUCCUUGCUCCCCUUAUAUAGAGUCCUGCUAUAAGUUCACUUGAACACAGUCGUGUUGAUCCACAUGAUCCGUUAUAUUUUCAAUUUUCUUAAAUCUCAAUGUACCAAUUUAAACAAGUUUAUCAUGUAGACAAUUAUUUUCGGUCGUCACUUGAAAUAUAUUACUUCAGAAAUAAGCAUUUGAAUCUUAUUAAAAAUUUGCACUAAUAAUAUUAAUCAUAUAAAUUAAUAGUAGUUAGAUUUUUGAAAAUGAACAACGCCAUUGGUUAUAUUUUACAUGUGUAUGUUAUUACGUUAUGCAUAGAUUCCCAAUGUGUCGGGCUUGACAAUGCAAAUUGAUUCGUACUUCAAAAUGUUUGGUAAGAAUAACCAUAAUAAACAUAAAUGCAUUUGAGGUAGAAGAUAAAACUCGGUUAUC